GACAGAGGGUGCAAACGUUGUUCGGAAUUACUGGGCGUAAAGCGUGUGUAGGCGGCCAUGUAAGCUCGGGUGUGAAAGCCCUGGGCUUAACCCAGGAAGUGCACUCGAUACUGCGUGGCUUGAGUAUCGGAGAGGUUGGUGGAAUUCUCGGUGUAGAGGUGAAAUUCGUAGAUAUCGAGAGGAACACCGGUGGCGAAGGCGGCCAACUGGACGAAUACUGACGCUGAGACACGAAAGCGUGGGGAGCAAACAGG
rnacentral:rRNA from 1 species